GAUGAACGCUGGCGGCGUGCCUAAUACAUGCAAGUCGAGCGAACAGACGAGGAGCUUGCUCCUCUGACGUUAGCGGCGGACGGGUGAGUAACACGUGGAUAACCUACCUAUAAGACUGGGAUAACUUCGGGAAACCGGAGCUAAUACCGGAUACUAUAUUGAACCGCAUGGUUCAAUAGUGAAAGACGGUUUUGCUGUCACUUAUAGAUGGAUCCGCGCCGCAUUAGCUAGUUGGUAAGGUAACGGCUUACCAAGGCAACGAUGCGUAGCCGACCUGAGAGGGUGAUCGGCCACACUGGAACUGAGACACGGUCCAGACUCCUACGGGAGGCAGCAGUAGGGAAUCUUCCGCAAUGGGCGAAAGCUUGACGGAGCAACGCCGCGUGAGUGAUGAAGGUCUUCGGAUCGUAAAACUCUGUUAUUAGGGAAGAACAAAUGUGUAAGUAACUAUGCACGUCUUGACGGUACCUAAUCAGAAAGCCACGGCUAACUACGUG
rnacentral:rRNA from 1 species